GUCAGAUCUGAUGGUUGAAGAGUCCAAUUGAAUUGUGACUCUAGUGAGGAGUUCCACUGGGACUAGGACUCCACUAUUAAUAGAAAAUUAAUUAGUAAUUAGAUUACUAAUUGACUCAAUUUGAUUGAGUAAAGAGUUUUGAAUCAAGUCUAAUUGAAUUAGAUUCAGUUCAACUCAGAUUGGAUUUGAUUUGAUCAAAC
rnacentral:lncRNA from 1 species